rnacentral:lncRNA from 1 species
UUAGAUGAGAAUAUGAUUCUCUACAAAAGACUCCCAAUCUUCUAUACAAAUAGGGGCUAUAUGAGUGCACCAAAAAGCGAUCAAAGAUAAAAGACGUAGAAAAUUUACAUCAGAACAUGAUUCUCUAUAAAAGACGCCCAAUCUUCUAUACAAGUAGGAGCUAUAUGAGUGCACGAGAAAAUGAUCAAAGAUAAAAGACUAGUCUUAAUAUGUGAAAAAGGAGACUCAAUCCCCUCAAAAGCUCUCCUAUUUCUCUCCCCCAAAACUGCACAUAUGAGAGCUAACGGGGCGAACUUCCAUGCCUUCUGCUUUCUUCUUCUACGGAAACC